rnacentral:rRNA from 1 species
AUGGACCCUCUGCCUUCUCCGCCGCAGCUCAGUGUCCUGGAGAGCGCCGUCGUAGCGCCCCCGCCGGCGCCGGAGACCUCCCUCCCGCUUACCUUCUUCGACGUCUACUGGCUCAACUCCCCGCCGGUGGAACGCGUCUUCCUCUACCGCCUCACCCCCGACACCACCGGCAACGACCUUGUCCCAUCCGCCAUCAUCUCCAGCCUCAGGUCCUCGCUCUCCCAAGCCCUCCGUGCCUACUUCCCGCUGGCCGGCCGCCUCCGCCUCACGCCCGGCACGGCCGACCGCUACGAGCUCCACUACCAGCCCGGCGACGGCGUCGCCUUCACCGUCGCCGGGUACGCCGUCGACGUCGACGAGCUGGCCGCCGACGGGCCGAGGGAGGUCGCCAGGAUCUUGUCGCUCGUGCCGCCUCUCUCGACGGGGGUUGGCCCGGUGCUCGCCCUGCAGGCCACCGUGCUCCGCGGCGGCCUCGCCAUCGGCAUCUCCCUCCACCAUGCCGCCUGCGAUGGCGCCUCCUCCACGCGCUUCCUCCACACCUGGGCCGCCGCAAGCAGCGGCGCCGCCGCGCCUCCUCCCCCUGUGGUCGACAGAAGCCUCGUUACCAAGGACCCCAGUUUCAGCCACAUCUACGACAUCUACGUCGGAGAUCUCACGAGCACCGAGGAGAUGGAGUACGUCGAGAUGUCCAGCGACAAGCUGCUCGCCACCUUCACGCUCUCCAGGGAGGACAUCCAGCGCGUUAAGGACGUCGUCUUCUCCGCGGCCGGUGACGCGGGCGCGCCGCCGCCGCGAUGCUCCUCGCUCGUCGCCACCUUCGGCUUCAUCUGGUCCUGCUACCAGCGCGCUAAAGACGACGCCGAAGCAAGCAGCGGCGACCCGACCUACAUCCUCUUCUCCGUCGACCACCGCUCGCGGAUAAAGCCUGAUCCCGUCCCGGACGAGUACCUCGGCAACUGCAUCGGCGCCGCCCAGCACGCCGCGCCCAAGAACCAGCUCGCGGCGGCCGGCAGCAGCGGCGUACUCGUCGCGUGCACGGCUGUGGCAGCGGCUAUCGAGGAGGCGAUGGGCCAAACCGCGUCGCCCGAGAAGAUGGGGUCGUGGCCGAAGAAGAUUCUAGAGGCCGUCGCGACUGGUGGCGGGUUGCUGAGCGUGGCGGGGUCGCCGAGGUUCCGGGUCUACGACGUCGAUUUCGGGUUCGGGCGGCCGGCCAAGGUGGAGAUCGUGUCCGUGGCGAGGACCGGCGCGAUGGCUUUGGCGGAGAGCCGCCGGAGCAGCGCCGGCGGCGUCAUGGAGGUGGGCAUCUCCCUGCCGCCGGCUGGCAUGCAGAGGUUCCGAAAGUGCUUUGACGAUGCCAUUUCGUGGCUUCAUCGCCAUUAG